AUGCAGAAGAUCCUUCCUGAGCACCUUCUGCCCUCCAUGUCCGAGCUGCACACUGGAACAGAGAGGUGAGGAAUCCGAGCCUCAGAGAGGGAGUGGGCUUUGUCCGGCAUCACGACAGCUGAAGCCCACAGGCUAGGAUUUGAACCCAGAUCCUGAAGACGCCAGGGCCUUUGCCCCUGUCCACUAGCUGUUGUGGCCUGCUUCACAACCAUGUCUCCUGGCCCCCGCUCCAGGGCUCCAUGACUGCUGAUUAAAAGAACAGCUUUGCCAUAUGGUUUAACCUGA
rnacentral:lncRNA from 1 species